rnacentral:rRNA from 1 species
AACGAACGCUGGCGGCAGGCUUAACACAUGCAAGUCGAGCGCCCCGCAAGGGGAGCGGCAGACGGGUGAGUAACGCGUGGGAAUCUACCCAUCUCUACGGAAUAACGCGUGGAAACGUGUGCUAAUACCGUAUACGUCCUUCGGGAGAAAGAUUUAUCGGAGAUGGAUGAGCCCGCGUUGGAUUAGCUAGUUGGUGGGGUAAAGGCCUACCAAGGCGACGAUCCAUAGCUGGUCUGAGAGGAUGAUCAGCCACACUGGGACUGCGACACGGCCCAGACUCCUACGGGAGGCAGCAGUGGGGAAUAUUGGACAAUGGGCGCAAGCCUGAUCCAGCCAUGCCGCGUGAGUGAUGAAGGCCCUAGGGUUGUAAAGCUCUUUCACCGGUGAAGAUAAUGACGGUAACCGGAGAAGAAGCCCCGGCUAACUUCGUGCCAGCCGCCGCCGUAAUAC